UACAAAUCGUCAACAUAAAUUAAAGUUAGAGCGUGAAGAUAUUUCUCAAACAUCAAUUUAUUAAUUGAAUAGGCAAACAUUUAACAGUAUCUGAAAAUAUUGUGCUAUAUGUAGUCCGAAACGUCAACUAUCCCAAGAUCCCGAUUGGGAAAUGUAUGUAGGAUCAACAUAGCCCCCUCACCCGAAAAACGUAUAAUUGGCAUGAAAACAAACAAUAAUGCUUCCGCAACAUCAUGCAAAAUUGCAAACGAUAACAAGGAAACGGAAAGAAAUGCCUCUCCGUGUUAAUGUUCACUGCAAGAAUGUUCACUAAAUCAAUCAACA